rnacentral:lncRNA from 1 species
CCAAUGCUGUGUGCUAGAAGGUUAAUAACAUAACUGCAUGCUGUUUAUCCAGCAAUCUAUGAAAUUUUUUGAAUUCAAAUAGAAUGCUGCAAUUUGGAAUAUCUGCAUAAUCGUGGUCAAUAUUACCAAGAUUAUGUAGAUAUUUGUGAUUAUUCCAUUUUAAUAUUGAACGCUCAAGAUCAUAUAUAUGUGAGAUGAAGAUAUAUACGUGGCUGUAAAUUGUUGGCAAUUGAUAUUGUUGUUAAACAUUCCCGCACAGCUCUAAUAAAAAGCUUAUAUAUUUAAUAAUUUUAUGGUUUAUAA